rnacentral:rRNA from 1 species
GAUGAACGCUGGCGGCGUGCCUAAUACAUGCAAGUCGAGCGAACGGACGAGAAGCUUGCUUCUCUGAUGUUAGCGGCGGACGGGUGAGUAACACGUGGAUAACCUACCUAUAAGACUGGGAUAACUUCGGGAAACCGGAGCUAAUACCGGAUAAUAUUUUGAACCGCAUGGUUCAAAAGUGAAAGACGGUCUUGCUGUCACUUAUAGAUGGAUCCCCGCUGCAUUAGCUAGUUGGUAAGGUAACGGCUUACCAAGGCAACGAUGCAUAGCCGACCUGAGAGGGUGAUCGGCCACACUGGAACUGAGACACGGUCCAGACUCCUACGGGAGGCAGCAGUAGGGAAUCUUCCGCAAAGGGCGAAAGCCUGACGGAGCAACGCCGCGUGAGUGAUGAAGGUCUUCGGAUCGUAAAACUCUGUUAUUAGGGAAGAACAUAUGUGUAAGUAACUGUGCACAUCUUGACGGUACCUAAUCAGAAAGCCACGGCUAACUACGUG